UACGGAGGGGGCUAGCGUUGUUCGGAAUUACUGGGCGUAAAGCGCACGUAGGCGGCUUUGUAAGUUAGAGGUGAAAGCCCAGGGCUUAACCCUGGAAUUGCCUUUAAGACUGCAUCGCUAGAAUCGUGGAGAGGUGAGUGGAAUUCCGAGUGUAGAGGUGAAAUUCGUAGAUAUUCGGAAGAACACCAGUGGCGAAGGCGACUCACUGGACACGUAUUGACGCUGAGGUGCGAAAGCGUGGGGAGCGAACGAGG
rnacentral:rRNA from 1 species